rnacentral:tRNA from 1 species
GCCUGGGUGGCUCAGUCGGUUAAGUGUCUGACUUCAGCUCAGGUUAUGAUCUUGCGGUCCGUGGGUUCAAACCUCAUAUCAGGCU